UAGGAAACGACACAGGAAGAAAGAAUAAGAGCACGGUUAUUUACACAGCGCUCAGAGAACGUUAGGAUCUUACAGUUCCAACAGACACAACUGCUACAUGAACAUUUCAGGCUGGAAAACGUGGUGAUGGCAGAGAGGAGGAAUCUACACCGCAGCCCUCAGCUUCUGUUGCUGCUUAGCAACACGUGCCAUUGUUUUAUCGCACCAUGAAACACGCUGCAUUUAAAACCACCCUAAGAUUUGGGUCCCAGCUUUGUCCAAGAUGAAACAUGGUCACCUAUCAAGGGAACAGCACGUUCUGGCAGGCGUGGAACAGAGCUGAUGCAUCCCACCCAGCACCGCCACAAGAUGGUCCUGGCUCUGCUGCCCGCUGUAACCACGCGUUCUGCAUGGCACGUUGUCUUCAACCAGCUCUUUUCUGAAGAGAAGCGUUUCUGCGCCGUCCCCAGGCUCUACGCUGCGUGCCCCAUAACUUUUGGUGUGAGACACGAGCACCGGAUUUCUUCCCUCUGAAAAUCACAUUAUGCUCAGAAAGUUAUUUUUUUGGAUGUGUCGGCCUGGGAAUCGGCUGUUCUCGGGGAGUGUCCCUCACCAUCUGCUCCUACAUCUGUCAAAUCCCCUCACACACGGCUGCCCAGAGCCCCUGUUUGGGAAACCGGAGGAUAGAUAAGCACUCCUUUUUAUUUUUCCUCCGCUGCAGUGAUGUGAACACAGGGGAAAUUCAGAGGGAAGGGUUAUUGUGCAAGGUUGGAGGCAAGGUAUGCACACUUAGAGCACGCACAGUUAAAAUCUCCAGGGCUGUGCUGCUGGGGAGCCCCUUGGCUGCAGCUUGGGCAGCUGGCUACAUCUCCCCCUUCUCAUAACGCCUUUUUAAGGAUUUCUAUUAAUAUUUCUAAUGAACAUUUCCCUCCUGUGAUGAUGAAAGCCUCUGACCUUUUGAGCAUUUUCAUGAAUAUUUAAUCGUUUUUCCUGGAGUUUAUUAUAUUCUUUUCCGUUGCUUAGGUUCUUCGUGCGCGAUUUGAGGGAUGCAAUGGCUGUUGCAAAGUUUAGAGCUGAUUUGUUUCAUCUUUUAUUCUAGUUGCCAAGGAGAGCCAAGUGCCACCCAAAUAAAGGAUUUGAGUUCAGA